GCCAAUAACGCGUUUCAUAAUCAUAAUAAUUUACGUAAUUAACGACUUUACAAGUUUGACGUAUGCAGUAUUCAUAUCAAAUAUUUUGGCGGUGAAUAGAUAUAUUUGUAACCUAUUCGUGAAGCAGUACGGAUCGAGUAUUUUUGAUUAAUAAACUAAUUAAGAUCCGUCAAAGAUUAUGUAUCCGAUCAUAUAUGUAUAUCGUGCAAGUCUUUGCUUAGAUCCCGCGUUGUCCAUUAAUACCCACAUAAGCGUUGAAUGUCUUGGUCAAUAAAUGUAUACAUCUUUCAUGCACGUGAGUGUGUUAUACUUUACAGUAAAAAUGAACGGGAAUUCUCCUUGACUGACAUAUAAAUUUCAUAAGAGCACUAGCAGUGAGGUAGACUGGUAGUACCUAAGUAUCUUAUAAUUAGCCGUUUGACUAAUAAUAUAAACCUAAGUUUCUUAUAAUUAGCCGUUUGGCUAAUAAUAUAAAAAUCAAUUCUCUCCGAUAGUGAUUUUAAGUUUUUGUCAUAAAAAUAGUCAUAAAAUGAUCAAAAUAGUCUUUUUUUUAUUUUGAAAUUUUUAAUAUUUAUUUUUAUUUUUUAAAAUUUGAAACCAUAUCCCAAAACUC
rnacentral:lncRNA from 1 species